AACGCGAAGAACCUUACCAGCCCUUGACAUGGGACGUUUGCCACUCGGAGACGGGUGGCUUCAGUUCGGCUGGCGUCCACACAGGUGCUGCAUGGCUGUCGUCAGCUCGUGUCGUGAGAUGUUGGGUUAAGUCCCGCAACGAGCGCAACCCUCAUCUUCAGUUGCCAUCGGGUAAAGCUGGGCACUCUGAAGAAACCGCCGGUGACAAGCCGGAGGAAGGCGGGGAUGACGUCAAGUCCUCAUGGCCCUUAUGGGCUGGGCUACACACGUGCUACAAUGGCGGUGACAAUGGGAUGCGAUGGAGCGAUCCGGAGCCAAUCUCAAAAAGCCGUCUCAGUUCAGAUUGCACUCUGCAACUCGAGUGCAUGAAGGUGGAAUCGCUAGUAAUCGUGGAUCAGCAUGCCACGGUGAAUACGUUCCCGGGCCUUGUACACACCGCUAGUC
rnacentral:rRNA from 1 species